AGAGGAUGGGGGAGAAACUCAAUGAGAGGAUUAUGGAGAGAUUUUAGGAGGAAAAAUGGGAGUUUGAGAGUGUGUGGGUUUGUGUCGAAUUUGCUUGGGGAAAACUCAUGAUUUCAGCUUUGGGAGGAGUGUGUUUUCAUUUCGGCAAUUGAGAGCAUUUUGGGGGUCUUUUAGGUUUUGUUUUGUUCUUCUUUUCGUUUUGUUUUCUCUGCUUUUUGUGCUACUUUGGGUCCCUUUUU
rnacentral:lncRNA from 1 species